ACUGCGCCAUGCCUGGACUUGAAUUUUUGUCAGGAAGAGAUCUGCAAUUAAUGCUGAUUGCAACUGAUGGCAGAAUUAAGAUGGUAAGUCUUAUAUCACAACCACCUCCUAAAAUCAAAAUGGAGCUGUUUCUGUAGGAGUCAGACUACCUCCUUUAGAGGAUAUGGGAGUAGUCCAUCAUGCAUUCAGACAGUUUUAUGAAGCGUAUAUAGUCUACCUCUCUCAGCACUGGGUGUGGGGCAUCUCCUAUUGUUAGGCAAUUCCCUUACUUCCUGAUCCUUCAAUUCACUUUUUAAAUGGUCUGAGAUUACCAGGUUUCCCUUGCUCAAGCUUCCAAAAAAUCAGGCUGACAAGUUACGUUUGGGCAUCUGCUCUUCAAAAGCCAAAGGCAGAGUUUUCUCUCUGUUAAAUAAUGAGCUGUCCAGGCAUAUUUUGAUUCACUCAGGUCACACACAGCAGCAGGAGGCUCUGCGUGGUGACUCAGGUCUAAAUUUUACUGUAGUCCUACAGGUUAGAAAUCAAUGAGCUGAUCAGAACACAUCCAGUUUCCAAAGAUAUGAGUGGCACCAUCAAUAUAAAUUAGUUCUCUAGUGAUGUCAAAGGGCACACUUAGCAGUGCUGUCGGAACAACCUGAAAAACCACAUUCAACAGGGAACACAGCCUAAGGCACACAACUCAUGAUAAAUACCUGGGAGGAAACCAGUUAGCUCUGCCUUUAGCUGUUCCCACCUCAGUUUUCACAAUUAAAGCUACAAUCAACAUACUGACUAUUUGGCAGACAUCUCUAUAAUGUUUAUACUCCUAAAAAACAUAUUAUACUGGUUAACUGAACCUACACAAUACUUAGAAAUCUCCCUAAAGUUAUCCUAAAAACAAAACAAAAGCAAAAACUUUGCAAGCUUUCUGAGUUCAAACCUGUAAUUUUGUUACAUAUCAGUGCUUUAUAAAAGAGCUAAGAUAAUUAAAGGAACAAGCCUUCUAAAAUGUAAAAUUCCAUUGUUCCUCUAUUACUCACCCAUCAAUCCAAUAAACAAAUUAUGCAUUAUAUAUAUACAAAGUAUAUACAGUACUUCAAGUAUAUAUGUAUAUAAAGUUACAAAGUAUCUAAAGUAACACAUGAAAUAUACACCACAUCCUCAUAAGUGUGUAGUCUAUGCAUGAAUAGUGGCAAAUAAACACCUUACCAUGACAUUCACCAUGAGUAUUGCUAGCGGGAGAAGUGGAAGAGAAAGCAGUCAUUAUACUUGAUGGUCAGGGAUGGAGAGAGAGAGGAAGGUUGUUGAGUUGGCCUUGAAGGUCAAAUCCCAAGCCGGGCCACUAUCUGGUUGGGAAAUAGAAAGUGAGAGGAGAAAGGCAUUUCUGGAAAGAAAUCCCUGGGGGCAAAUAUUCUGCAGCACUGAAGGCACGCAGGAUUAGUUUAGAGUUACUAAAGCGCCGGUAGACAGGGGAGGAGGAGGAAGAGAGUUGAAAGAGGAGACUGGAAAGCAGACUGAGGCAAGGCUGGGAAGGCCUUGGGUGCUAGAGGUGUUUGGAAUUUGUGUGCUAAGCAGGGAGAGGCCAUUCGAGUUCCCCCGUGCAUUGAGUAAACACCACCUCCUGACGCUGUGACAGGUAUUCAGUUAGCUGCUGGUGAGGAACGUGGCUCCUGUCCCUGUGAAGCUUAAAGUCUGGAGUAAGGUAAACCCUAAGAAUUCAGACCACAGUAGCAUGUCCACUGUGAUGGAGAAGAAACAGGGACAAUGAGGACAUAGAGCAGGGAAGGGGGCCUAGGAAGCUAUUCUGGAACAAGUGAGUUGGUCCCUGAAGUUGAAGCAUCUGCAGAGGUAAGGAGGUGGGGAGCAGAAGUGCAGGAACUGUCUGUGCAAAGAGCCUGGGGCCUCUACAGCAGAAACUGUUCUAAUCAGAUUUGCAUUUUAGAAAUGAUAACCCUAGGCUUGGCGCGGUGGCUCACGCCUGGAAUUCCAGCACUAUGGGAGGCCAAGGCUCUACUAACAAAUCUCUACUAAAAAUACCAAAAUUAGCUGGGUGUGGUGGUGCACACCUGUAAUUCCAGCUACUCAGGAGGAGGCUGAAGCAGGAAAAUCUCUUGAACCCAGGAGGCAGAGGAUGCAGUGAGCCAAGAUCACACCAUUGCACUCCAGCCUGGGUGACAGAGCGAGACUCUGUCUAAAAAAAAAAAAAAAAAAAAAAAG
ensembl:lncRNA